rnacentral:tRNA from 1 species
AGGUCCUGGCGUACUCUUAGCACACAUCAAUGAGCUUGCAACUCAACAUGAACUUCACUACAGGACC